UUUCAAGGAACAACGGCUAAGAACGCACUUCAUGUGGCAACAUCUUUGUGACCUACAUCCUGUAGG
rnacentral:sRNA from 1 species